GACGAACGCGGCGGCGUGCUUAACACAUGCAAGUCGAACGAAGAGCGAUGGAAGCUUGCUUCUAUCAAUCUUAGUGGCGAACGGGUGAGUAACGCGUAAUCAACCUGCCCUUCAGAGGGGGACAACAGUUGGAAACGACUGCUAAUACCGCAUACGAUCUGACCUCGGCAUCGAGGAUAGAUGAAAGGUGGCCUCUAUUUAUAAGCUAUCACUGAAGGAGGGGAUUGCGUCUGAUUAGCUAGUUGGAGGGGUAACGGCCCACCAAGGCGAUGAUCAGUAGCCGGUCUGAGAGGAUGAACGGCCACAUUGGGACUGAGACACGGCCCAGACUCCUACGGGAGGCAGCAGUGGGGAAUCUUCCGCAAUGGACGAAAGUCUGACGGAGCAACGCCGCGUGAGUGAUGACGGCCUUCGGGUUGUAAAGCUCUGUUAAUCGGGACGAAAGGCCUUCUUGCGAAUAGUUAGAAGGA
rnacentral:rRNA from 1 species